GAUGAACGCUGGCGGCGUGCCUAAUACAUGCAAGUCGAGCGAACGGACGAGAAGCUUGCUUCUCUGAUGUUAGCGGCGGACGGGCGAGUAACACGUGGAUAACCUACCUAUAAGACUGGGAUAACUUCGGGAAACCGGAGCUAAUACCGGAUAAUAUUUUGAACCGCAUGGUUCAAAAGUGAAAGACGGUCUUGCUGUCACUUAUAGAUGGAUCCGCGCUGCAUUAGCUAGUUGGUAAGGUAACGGCUUACCAAGGCAACGAUGCAUAGCCGACCUGAGAGGGUGAUCGGCCACACUGGAACUGAGACACGGUCCAGACUCCUACGGGAGGCAGCAGUAGGGAACCUUCCGCAAUGGGCGAAAGCCUGACGGAGCAACGCCGCGUGAGUGAUGAAGGUCUUCGGAUCGUAAAACUCUGUUAUUAGGGAAGAACAUAUGUGUAAGUAACUGUGCACGUCUUGACGGUACCUAAUCAGAAAGCCACGGCUAACUACGUG
rnacentral:rRNA from 1 species